GAUGAACGCUGACGGAAUGCUUAACACAUGCAAGUCAACUUGAACGUCGGUGUGGUUGGCGGACGGGUGAUUAACGCGUAAGGAACUUUCCUCACAGAUAGGGACAACAUUUGGAAACGAAUGCUAAUACCUGAUAUUAUGAUUAUAUGGCUUCGUAUAAGUAUGAAAGCUAUCUGCGCUGUGAGAGAGCUUUGCGUCACAUUAGCUAUUUGGAGAGGUAACGUCUCCCAAAGGCGAUGAUGGGUAGCCGGCCUGAGAGGGUGAUCGGCCACAAGCGGCCUGAGGCAGGACCCUUACUCAUUCGGCAGGCAGGAGUGGAGACUAUGCGGAGAAGGACCAAGAGUGUGAUCCAGCAAUUCUGUGUGCAAGAUGAAGUUUUUCGGAAUGUAAAGUGCUUUCAGUUGCGAAGAAAAAAAUGACGGUACCAACAGAAGAAGUGACGGCUAACUACGUG
rnacentral:rRNA from 1 species